CGGUUGUAGGGGGAUGCUUGUUGGGGUCGGUGCUGGGGGACUGGUUGGGGUUGGGGAAAUGGUUGUUUUGGUUGCACAUGGUAUGAUUGUUGGGGUUGCUGGAAAAUUAUUUGUUGUGGUUGUUGGGGAAAUGGUUGUUGUGGUAGUUUGGGGAAUGGUUGUUUCGGUUGCAGAGGGAAUGGUUGUUGUGGUUGCUGCGAGAAUGAUUGUUGUGGUUGCUGCGCAAUUGGUUGUUGGGGCUGCAGAAAUGGUUGUUGUGGUUGCCAGGGGAAUGGUUGUUGUGGUUGCAGGGGAAAUGGUUGUUGAGGCUGGGGAAAUGGUUGUUGUGGUUGCGAGGGGAAUGUUUGUUUGGGCUGAGGAAAAGGUUGUUGUGGUUGCUGGGGGAAUGGUUGUUGUGGUUGCUGGGGUAUUGUUUGUUGUGGUUGCUGGGUGAAUGGUUGUUGUGGUUGGUAGGGAAUUGGUUGUUGGGGCUGGGGAAAUGGUUGUUGUGGUUGCGAGGGGAAUGGUUGUUAGGGCUGAGGAAACGGUUGUUGUGGUUGCUGGAGGAAUGGUUGUUGUGGUUUCUCGGGAAUUAUUUGUUGUGGUUGUUGGGGGAAUGGUUGUUGUGGUUGCUGGAGAAUUGGUUCUUGGGGCUGCGGAAAUGGUUGUUGUGGUUGCCAGGGGGAUGGUUGUUGGGGCCGAGGAAGAGGUUGUUGGGGUGGUUGGGGGAAUGGUUGUUGUGGUUGUAGGGGGGUUGGUAUUUGAUAUUNNNNNNNNNNNNNNNNNNNNNNNNNNNNNNNNNNNNNNNNNNNNNNNNNNNNNNNNNNNNNNNNNNNNNNNNNNNNNNNNNNNNNNNNNNNNNNNNNNNNCCACCCUCUCGUGGGUCUUUGCUUCAUAAAUCAUUAUAAUUCCCAUAAAGAAUUCACAAAAAAAAUUGUCCAAUUCCGAGAACUUUUAUUUAUGCAUAAAAUAUAUUGAAGGUAGUUCCGUAGAAAAGAGCACCAGUGCGGGUUAGUUUUAUUCAAAUCAUGCAAAUUAGAGUCCAAAAAAAGAACAAAAGUGUUUGGAAAAGUAGAUACAUUGGAGACGUAUCAGCCAUCGACAAGGAGGAACACCCUUGUACUAUCAUUAUGCUCUGAUAAUUGUUAUGUCAUGCAGAUGGCUAGGCUGAGGCACUGCAUAUGUAGGGUGAAGAUGGUUUAGAUAUGAAAUCAUGUCCCUCAGGCCCUAGUAGCAAGCAUUAAGCAUGGCAAGGUCACAGGAACAUCAAUCUCAUAACAUAGUGGAUACUAGGGAUCAAGCCAUAUCAAAAUAACUCGAUUACAAGACAAAUAUUAUCCAAUCCAGCUAGCAUACAAAGGAAUUACUCACUCCCGUUGAAGAGCAUCAAGAUGGUGUUGAUAGAGAAGGGUUGGUCAUGACGACAAUGAUGAAUCUCCCUCUCCGGAGCCCCAAACUGACUCCAGAUCAUCCCUCUUGUGGACGAACGGGAGGUGGCAACAGCUCCAUCUCAUAGAACGCAAUGAAAACUUCUCUCCUACUUUUCUCCGGAAAUAAGAAUUUAUAGGAUUGGAAUUAGGGUAUGUGGAGCCACGAGGUGGUCACAAGCCAAGAGGGCGCGCUUAGGGGGGUGGUCGCACCCUGUUUUUCUUGGCACCAACAGNNNNNNNNNNNNNNNNNNNNNNNNNNNNNNNNNNNNNNNNNNNNNNNNNNNNNNNNNNNNNNNNNNNNNNNNNNNNNNNNNNNNNNNNNNNNNNNNNNNNAGAGGCAAGACCUAGAUUAUGUGUGUAGUGUAAAGUAAAAAAAAUGACUCAUCAUUCAUUAUGGAUCAUGACUUACAACCAGAUGAUAUUUGCAAAAAAAACAACUAUGUUGAGCAAUCCAAAAUCACACAAGUAAAGUAGUACCACCAAACACAACAUACCAAACGAUUAGUUGGAUAAUCUUAGGAGUACUUUUUCGAAAAGCAAGGGCAAGGAUGGAAUUAAACCAUACCAUGAUAGCUAUAAAUAAACAUGCACCAUCAUGGUUACCUUCCAUCAUCCAAACUUUACACACCAAGAUCAGAAACAUCUAUUCCAAGCAAGCAAUAGUAACCAAAAAUCCAACAUGAAGACGUUCCUCACCUUUGUCCUCCUUGCCAUGGCGAUGAGCAUCGUCACUACCGCUGGGCAGCUAAACCCUAGCUACCAAGAGUUGCAAUCACCACAACAACCAUUUCUGAAACAACAAUCAUAUCUGCAGCAACCAUAUCCACAACAACCAUAUCUACCGCAGCAACCAUUCCCCACACCCCAACAAUUUUUCCCCUAUCUACCACAGCAAACAUUUCCCCCAUCCCAACAACCAAACCCCCUACAACCACAACAACCAUUCCCCCUGCAACCCCAACCACCACAACAACCUUUUCCUCAGUCCCAACAACCAUUCACCUGGCAACCACAACAACCUUUUUCCCAGCCCCAACAACCAAUUCCCCAGCAACCACAACAACCGUUCCCCUAGCAACCACAACAAAUAAUUCCCCAACAACCACAACAACCAUUCUCCCUGCAACCCCAACAACCACAUCAACCUUUUCCUCGGCCCCAACAACCAUUCCCCUGGCAACCACAACAACCAUUUUCCCGGCCCCACCAACCAAUUCCCCAGGAACCACAACAACCAUUCCCCCAGCAACCACAACAAAUAGUACCCCAGCAACCACAACAACCAUUCCCCCAGCAACCACAACAACCUUNNNNNNNNNNNNNNNNNNNNNNNNNNNNNNNNNNNNNNNNNNNNNNNNNNNNNNNNNNNNNNNNNNNNNNNNNNNNNNNNNNNNNNNNNNNNNNNNNNNNGAGGUGUAAACGAUAGAUGUGAAUAGACCUGGGGGCCGUAGUGUUUACUAGUGGCUUCUCUCAUGAAAGCAAGUAGACGGUGGGUGAACAAAUUACUGUCGAGCAAUUGAUAGAACCGCGCAAAGUCGUGACAAUAUCUAUGCAAUGAUUAUAUCUAUAGGCAUCAUGUCCAAAACAAGUAGACCGAUACUUUCUGCAUCUACUACUAUUACUCCACACAUCGACCGCUAUCCAGCAUGCAACUAGUGUAUUAAGUCCAUAAGAACAGAGUAAUGCCUUAAGCAAGAUGACAUGAUGUAGAGGGAUAAUCUCAAACCAAUGAUAAAAACCCCGUCUUUUUACCCUUGAUGGCAACUACUUGAUGUGUGCCUUGCUACCCCUACUGUCACUGGGAAAGGUCACCACAUGGCAGAACCCAAAACCAAGCACUUCUCCCAUUGCAAGAAUCAUAGAUCUAGUUGGCCAAACAAAACCCAAGACUUCGAGAGACUUACAAGGAUAUCAAAUCAUGCAUAUAAGAAAUCAACAAAUACUCAAAUAUAUAUCAUAGAUAAUCUGAUCACAAAUCCACAAUUCAUCGGAUCUCGACAAACACACCGCCAAAGAAGAUUACAUCGGAUAGAUCUCCAUGAAGAUCAUGGAGAACUUUGUAUUGAAGAUCCAAGAGAGAUAAGAAGCCAUCUAGCUACUAACUACGGAUCUGUAGGUCUGAAGUGAACUACUCAUGAGUCAUUGGAGGGGCGAUGAUGAUGAUGAAGAAGCCCUCCAACUCCANNNNNNNNNNNNNNNNNNNNNNNNNNNNNNNNNNNNNNNNNNNNNNNNNNNNNNNNNNNNNNNNNNNNNNNNNNNNNNNNNNNNNNNNNNNNNNNNNNNNUCACAGGCCCCCUGAUCUUCUUCCGUUCGGGAAAAAAUCAUUUCGGGGAUUUUAUUCCGUUUGGAGUCCGUUCUAAAAUCAGAUCUAAAAAGAGCCAAAAAGACAGAAAAAGAGGAAUUGGCAAUUGGCACUGAAUUAAUAAGUUAGUCCCAAAAAAAUAUAAAAGGUACAUAAAACAUCCAAAGAUGACAAGAUAACAGCAUGAAACCAUCAAAAAUUAUAGAUACGUUUGAGACGUAUCAAGCAUCCCCAAGCUUAACUCCUGCUCGUCCUCGAGUAGGGAAGUGAUAAAGAAUGAAUUUUUGAUGCUUUCNNNNNNNNNNCUUAUGUGACGUGAAAGUUCAGAUCCAUUAGAUUCAAAACAAUAGUUUGCUAUUGACGUGGAAACAAUAAUACUUCAAGCAAACUAGCAAGGUAAUCAUGAACUUUCAAAAUAACAAGGCCAAAAGAAAGUUAUCCCUACAAAAGCAUAUAGUCUGGCUAUGCUCUAUCAUCAUUGCACAACGAAUUUAAAUCAUGCACAACCCCGGUAUUGGCCAAGUAAUUGUUUCACACCUUUACUUUCUCAAACCUUUUCAACUCUCACGCAAUACAUGAGCGUGAGCCAUGGUUUAUAGCACUAUAGAUGGUGUGGAGUGUGGUGGAGGUUGCAAGACAAAAAAGGAGAAGAUAGUCACAUUAACUAGGCAUAUCAAUGAGCUAUGGAGAUGCUCAUAAAUAGAUAUCAAUGUGAAUGAGUAGGGAUUUCCAUACAAAUGAUGCACUAGAGCUACGAGUAAGUGAAACCUCUUAAAGAAAACUAGUGUGUGUGCAUCCAACUUGCUUGCUCACGAAGACCUAAGGCAAUUUUGAGGAAGCCUAUCAUUGGAAUAUACAAGCCAAGUUAUAUAACGAAAAUUUCCCACUAGCUAUAUGGUGGUGACAGAACGAGAGACUCUCAAUCAUGAAGAUCAUGGUGCUUAAUAUGCACAAGUGUGGAAAAAGUGGUAGCAUUGUCCCUUCUCUCUUUUUCUCUCAUUUAUUUUGGUGGGCUCUUUGGCCUCUUUUUUUGGUUGGCUUCUUUGGCCUCUUUUAUUUCCUCACAUGGGACAAUGCUUCAUUAAUGAUGAUCAUAACACUUUCAACUCAAAACUUAGAGCAACAAUGACUCUAUAUGGAAUGCCUUCGGUAGUGUACCGUGGCAAUGAUCUAGCAUGGCAUAGACAUUAAUGGAAACAUUAUGCUAGCUAUCUUGCGAUCAUGCAAUGGAAAUGUAGACGUGGUGGCACAUGUCAUGGUGGUAGUUGCAUGGCAAUAUAUCUCGGAAUGACUUUGAAAGAGCAUGGUAGUUAGGUAUGGUGGAUGUUCUGAUGGAGGCUAAUGGUGGGUUUUGUGCACCGGCGGAAGUUGCACGGCACUAAAGAAGAUAGUGAUGGUGGAAGGUGAAAGUGCAUCUUAACCAUGGACUCAACAUUAGUCAUGAAGAACUCAUAUACUUGUUGCAAAAGUUUUAUUAGUAAUUGAAACAAAGAAUUCAACGCAUACUCCUAGGGGAAGGGUUGGUAGGUAUAAACCAUCGCNNNNNNNNNNUGCAAAGGAUGACAAUCAAUAGACUAAUCAUGCUCAGAUUUCAUCACAUAGCGGUUCACCAUACGUGCAUGCUACGGGAAUCACUAACUUCAACACAAGUAUUUCUAGAUCCAGAACACCUUACUAGCAUGACUUUAAUAUUACCAUAACCACAACUCAAAACUAAUUGAGAUAAAUCAAACUUCUCUAACUAUUCAAUGCACAUGAAGGUGGAAGUUUUCGUAUCCCUUUGGAUAACUACCCGUUUUGAGUCUACUUUCAAAACAUAGAUACACUACCAAGCCACGCACCGCUGUGCUCUAAAAUAUAUAAGUGAUGCACACAGAGCAAAAGUAUCUAGCUCAAAAGAUAUAAGUGAAGCACAUGUGAGCUGAAUUGUCUACCAAAAGAUAUAAGUGAAGCUCGACAAAAUCACAGUGAGUGCAUGUCUCUCUCUCUCUAGGUGUGCAGCAAGGAUGAUUGUGACACAACAAAAAUAAAAGACUCCUACGAUACAAGACACUCCAAGCAAAAACACAUAACAUGUGGUGAAUAAAAAUAUAGCCCCAAGUAACAUUAUCGAUGGAUUGAAGACGAGAGAGGGGAUGCCUUCCCGGGGCAUCCCCAAGCUUAGGCUUUUACGGAAUCCUUGAAUCUCUUGGGGUGCCUUGGGCAUCCCCAAGCUUGAGCUCUUUCCACUCAUUAUCUCUUUCACCAUAAGAACUUCACCCAAAACUUGAAAACUUCACAACACGAAACUUAAACAGAAACUCAUGAUAACAUUAGUAUGAGAAAGCAAACCACCAGUUCCUUAGGUACUGUAGAAAACUUAAAUUAUACAUAGGCUUAUGUUGGGUUACUGUAUUUUCAAUCUUCCAUGGCUAAUACCCCCCAAUACUAUCCAUAGUUUCAUCAAAAUAAGCAACCAACACAACAAAAACAGAAUAUGUUAACAGCAGACCAGUCUGUAGCAAUCUGUAUAUUGCGUAUACCUCUGGUACUUCAAAAAUUCUGAAAACUUACGACAGUCUGAAGAAUUUGCAUAGCAAUCAGCAGCAAAAAGAAUGAACUCAAAAGCUCUUACAGAAAAAAAAAUCUUUUCGUGAGCAGAAAGUUUCUGUCUUUUGCAGCAUGACCAAACGAUCAUUCCCAAGACUAAUCAUAACGGUUUUGCUUGGCACAAACGCAAAAAGAAACACAAAAAACACAAUCAUAACAAAAUUAUGAAAGUGUGGAAAACACAAAACAGAAAGAAAAAGGAUAGAUUCGUUGGGUUGCCUCCCAACAAGCGCUUUUGUUUAACGCCCUUAGUUAGGCGAAAGGUGAUGGAAUCACGUAUAGUCAUCUUUGGUGCUCAAACCAUAAGNNNNNNNNNNCCCUCUUCAUAGAUUCAUAAGGCAAUCUUAUUUUAUUUCUAGGAAAGUGCUCCAUGCCCUUCUUUAAAGGAAAUUGAAAUCUAAUGUUCUCUUCCUUCAUAUCGAUGAUAGCACCAAUAGUCCUUUGGAAAGGUCUACCAAGAAUAGUGGGACAUGAAGGGUUGCAAUCUAUGUCAAGUACAAUGAAAUCCACGGGUACAUAGUUCUUAUUUGCAACAAUAAGAACAUCAUCGAUCCUUCCCAUGGGUUUCUUGACAGUAGAAUCCGCAAGAUGCAAAUUAAGAGAACACUCUUCAAUCUCAUGAAAACCAAGAAUAUCACAUAAAGACUUUGGAAUCGCGGAAACACUAGCACCCAAAUCACACAAAGCAUUGCACUCAUAGUUUUUGAUCUUGAUUUUGAUAGUAGGUUCCCACUCAUCAUGAAGUUUUCUAGGUAUAGAGACUUCUAGUUCGAGCUUCUCUUGAAGAGAUUUCAUCAUAGCAUCUACGAUAUGCGCGGGAAAGGCUUUGCUUUGGCUAUAAGCAUUUGGAGAGUUUGCAAUGGAUUGCAUCAAAGAAAUGCAUUCAAACAAGGAGCAAUUAUCAUAAUUGAAUUCCUUGAAAUCCAAAGUGGGAGUUUCAUUACUAUCCAAAAUUUUGACUUCUUCUACUCCACUCUCCACACCUUUAUCAUCAAGAUGGGUGGACUCCGAAUCAUUGGGGCGUUUUUCAACCCAAGUGGAUUCAUAUCCAGGCCCUACAUAAAUAGGUUUGACACACGAAAACAAAGAUUAAAGAGGAGACACACCAAGCACUUUAAGAUCUUCGUGAUUUGCAUCACUAGAACGCACCCUUUUAAACCAUUCAUGCCUAGCGCGAAUUUGGGUGGUUCUUUCUUUGCUCUCAUUCAUGGAGACACGCAUAGCUUUCAAAGUUUCAUCCAAGUUGACCUUGGGAGGAGCGCAUCUAACUUUCAAAGCAUCAAUAUCACAAGACAUCCUAUCAAUGCUCUUAGCCAAAUCGUCAAUUUUGAGUAGUCUUUCCUCUAUGGACGCAUUGCAAAUCUUUUGAGAGUUAAUGAACUCUUUGAUAUUACUCUCUAAAUAAGAGGGUAAUUUGUUGUGAUUUCCAUAAGUGUUGUUGUAGGAACUGCCAUAAUUGUUAGAGGAGUUACUAGGAAAAGGCCUAGGAACAUAGUUUCCUCUAAAAGCAUUGUUGUUGCCAAAAUUGUUCGUACCAACAAAAUUCACGUCCAAACUAGCGUUGCUACUCUCAAUCAAAGAAGAUAGUGGCAAGUCAUUAGGAUCUACGGUAGCAUUUCUACUAGCAACCAAAUUCAUCAACUCGUCCAUCUUAGCACUGAGCGAGUUAAUUUCUUCUAUAGUGUGCACCUUUUUGCUAGCAGGCGACCUUUCAGUGUGCCACUGAGAGUAGUUGGUCAUGAUAUUGUCUAGGAGUUUUGUAGCGUCUCCUAACGUGAUUUCCAUGAACGUUCCACCUGAGGCGGAGUCCAAGAUAUUGCGAGAAGCGAAAUUCAAGCCAGCGUAAAAGAUUUGUAUAAUCAUCCACAAACUCAAGCCAUGAGCGGGACAAUUUCUAAUCAUAAGCUUCAUCCUCUCCCAAGAUUGUGCAACGUGUUCAUGAUCAAGUUGCUUGAAAUUCAUGAUAUCGUUGCGUAAGGAGAUGAUCUUAGCCGGUGGAAAAUACUUGGAUAUGUAAGCAUCUUUGCAAUUAUCCCAAGAAUCGAUACUAUUUUUAGGCAAAGAAGAAAACCAAGUUUUUGCGCGAUCUCGCAACGAGAAAGGANNNNNNNNNNUUUCAACUUAAUCACGUCAUUAUCCACAUCUCUUUUAUUUUGCAUAUCACAAAGCUCAAUGAAGGUAUUGAGAUGGGAUGCGGCAUCUUCACUAGGAAGGCCAGAGAAUUUCUCUUUCAUAACAAGAUUCAGCAAAGCUGCGUUGAUUUCAUACGAUUCCGCACUAGUCGUGGGAGCAAUCAGAGUACUAAUAAAAUCAUUAUUAUUACUGCUCGAGAAGUCGCAAAGUUUGGUGUUUUCAGCCAUGAUGACUUCAACAAACAAACAAGCACACAAGAAAGCAAGAAAACCGGCAAAGGGAAACGACAAAGUCAAAAAAGGCGAAGGAGAAAGGCAAAUGAAAACGACAAAUGUGAAGUGGGGGAGAGGAAAACGAGAGGCAACUGGCAACAAAAGUAAAUUCAAGAGAUGAGUUUGUGAGACCUACUUGGAUAGAUGUUGAUCUCUCCUCCCUGGCAACGGCGCCAGAAAUACUUCUGAUGUCAGCUGUGCUUCCCUGGUAACGGCGACAGGAAUAGUCGUGUCGACGGCACCAGGAAUCCUUCUGCUGCGGCUACGCCUUAAGGGACUUCCUAGGCAAAUAUGCAAAGGAUUUCCCCCGUGGCCUUGGAGCCUUGCGUUGGUGUUCCCUCGAAGCAGAAAGGGUGAUGUAGCAUAGCGGUGGUAAGUAUUUCCCUCAGUUUGAGAACCAAGAUAUCGAUCCAGUGGAGGAGUAUCACAAGAUCCUGCACAAACACAGAAAACUUGCUCCCAAUGCUAUGAAGGGUUGUCAAUCCCUUAUAGAUUGUUCGCCAAGUGAGAACUGAAAGCAACAAAGUAACAAAGAAAAGUAAAAGCGGAGGUGUAAACGAUAGAUGUGAAUAGACCCGGGGGCCGUAGUGUUUACUAGUGGCUUCUCUCAUGAAAGAAAGUAGACGGUAGGUGAACAAAUUACUGUCGAGCAAUUGAUAGAACCGCGCAAAGUCGUGAUGUCAUCUAUGGCAAUGAUUAUAUCUAUAGCCAUCACGUCCAAAACAAGUAGACCGAUACUGUCUGCAUCUACUACUAUUACUCCACACGUCAACCGCUAUCCAGCAUGCAUCUAGUGUAUUAAGUCCAAAAGAACAGAGUAAUGCCUUAAGCAAGAUGACAUGAUGUAGAUGGACAAUCUCAUAUCAACGACAGAGCCCAGCUUGUUACCCUUGAUGGCAACGACUUAAUGUGUGCCUUGCUGCCCCUACUGUCACUGGGAAAGGUCACCACAUGGUAGAGACCAAAACCAAGCACUUCUCCCAUUGCAAGAAUCAUAGAUCUAGUUGGCNNNNNNNNNNNNNNNNNNNNNNNNNNNNNNNNNNNNNNNNNNNNNNNNNNNNNNNNNNNNNNNNNNNNNNNNNNNNNNNNNNNNNNNNNNNNNNNNNNNNUACCCCAGCAACCACAACAACCAUUCCCCCAGCAACCACAACAACCUUUUCCUCAGCCCCAACAACCAUUCCCUUGGCAACCACAACAACCAUUUCUCCAGCCCCUACAACUAUUUCCCUAGCAAGCACAACAACCAUUACCCUUGCAACCACAACUACCAUUUCCGCAGCCCCAACAACCAAUUGGACAGCAACCACAACAACCAUUCCUGCGGCAACCACAACAAAUAAUUCCCCAGCAACCACAACAACCAUUCCCCCUGCAGCCGCAACAACCAUUCCCCGAACAACCACAACAAACACUUCCCCAACAACCACAACAAAUAAUUUCCCAGCAACCACAACAACCAUUCCCCAGCAACCUCAACAACCAUUCCUUCUGCAGCCACACCAACCUCAGCAACCUUAUGCACAACAAGACAUCUAGAGUGAUUUAGCCCUCUUGGGCUAAUGAAGCAAAAAGUUGUAAUACUAGAUGGGUGUAUCAUCGUUUUUUAGUCAAUGAGUGUUCAGUGUAAUGAUGAUAAAUAAAGUGAUGUGCACCAUCAUGUGUAAUCCCGACCUAUACUAGNNNNNNNNNNNNNNNNNNNNNNNNNNNNNNNNNNNNNNNNNNNNNNNNNNNNNNNNNNNNNNNNNNNNNNNNNNNNNNNNNNNNNNNNNNNNNNNNNNNNAUUCUGAGGUUGCCCUCCUGCUAGAUAGAAUUUCCCCCAUCAGAUAGAAUUUCCCCCAUCAGACCAUGACGGAUCAAGUAACAUAAACCACGUGUCUUCCAAUGCCAUAGAUCAAUGGAUGGAGACAAACUUCAUAACACCUAGAAUAAAUGUGUGUAAUAUAGAUUAGUAUAGCAAAAAUGGAUUAAAGCCAGCAGUUAUUAUAAAGUCCUACCAUAUGGAUGGUUAUUGAAUACUCUAAUUAGUAUUGUAAUAGAAUAGAUAGAUGGACAAAUGAACAAAUAAAACAACACAAAAUUUUGAAGAUACAUACCUCAGUUUAGUCUGUGGAGAAGCGGCUAUGAAAUCCAAAGUUNNNNNNNNNNUGAUGGGUGGAAGCAUCCAGCUACACAACACAAUUUGUAAAUACUAGUUGAGCAACACACGAAUCUGAUUGGAAAAAUAAGAGAUGACAAAAACACUGGUUGCAUCUGAGGAGGAACUCUACACAGGCAGAGGCCACGGACAGACACAUGCAACUUCUAAACCUUGCAGCCGUUACACAAAUCCUACCUUGCAGUUGUGACACAGAUCUAUCGAGGACAAAUUCUGAGGUUGCCCUCCUGCUAGAUAGAAUUUCCCCCAUCAGACCAUGACGGAUCAAGUAACAUAAACCNNNNNNNNNNNNNNNNNNNNNNNNNNNNNNNNNNNNNNNNNNNNNNNNNNNNNNNNNNNNNNNNNNNNNNNNNNNNNNNNNNNNNNNNNNNNNNNNNNNNGGCUUUCCUGCCUUGGCCCUCAAGUCCCCUCAUCUUCUUCCGUUCUGGAAAAAAUUAUUUUGGAGAUUUUAUUCCGUUUGGACUCCGUUCCAAAAUCAGAUAUGAAAAGAGUCAAAAACACAGAAAAAACAGGAACUGGCACUUGGCACUGAUUUAAUAAGUUAGUCCCAAAAAAGAUAUAAAAGGUACAUAAAACAUCCAAAGUUGACAAGAUAACAUCAUGAAACCAUCAAAAAUUAUAGAUACGUUUGAGACGUAUCAAGCAUUCCCAAGCUUAACUCCUACUCGUCCUCGAGUAGGGAAGUGAUAAAGAAUGAAUUUUUGAUGCUUUCNNNNNNNNNNGUUAUGUGACGUGAAAGUUCAGAUCCAUUAGAUUCUAAACAAUAGUUUGCUAUUAACGUGGAAACAAUAAUACUUCAAGCAAACUAGCACGGUAAUCAUGAACUUUCAAAAUAGCAAGGCCAAAAUAAAGUUAAACCUACAAAAACAUAUAGUCUGGCUAUGCUCUAUCAUCAUUGCACAACGAAUUUAAAUCAUGCACAACCCCGGUAUUGGCCAAGCAAUACAUGAGCGUGAGCCAUGGUUUUAGAACUAUAAGUGGUGUGGAGUGUGGUGGAGGUUGCAAGAAAAACAAGGAAAAGAUGGUCACAUUAACUAGGCAUAUCAAUGAGCUGUGGAGAUGAUCAUCAAUAGAUAUCAAUGUGAAUGAGUAGGGAUUGCUAUACAAAUGAUGCACUAGAGCUAAGAGUAUGUGAAAGCUCUUAAAGAAAACUAGUGGGUGUGCAUCCAACUUGCUUGCUCACGAAGCCCUAAAGCAAAUUUGAGGAAGCCUAUCAUUGGAAUAUACAAGCCAAGUUAUAUAAUGAAAAUUUCCCACUAGCUAUAUGGUGGUGACAAAAUGAGAGACUCUCAAUCAUGAAGAUCAUGGUGCUUAAUAAGCACAAGUGUGGAAGGAUAGUAGCAUUGUCCCUUCUCUCUUUUUCUCUCAUAUUUUUUUGGUGGGCUCUUGGGCCUCUUUUUUUAAAUUUUGGUGGGCAUCUUUGGCCUCUUUUAUUUCCUCACAUGGGAAAAUGCUCCAUCAAUUAUGAUCAUUACACUUACAACUCAAAACUUAGAACAACGAUGACUCUAUAUGGAAUGCCUUCGGUAGUGUACCGUGGCAAUGAUCUANNNNNNNNNNCAUGCUAGCUAUCUUACGAUCAUGCAAUGGCAAUGUAGACGUGGUGGUACAUGUCAUGGUGGUAGUUGCAUGGCAACAUAUCUCGGAAUGACUUUGAAAAAGCCAUAGUAGGUAGGUAUGGUGGCUGUUUUGAGGGAGGCUAAUGGUGGGUUUUGUGCACCGGCGAAAGUUGCACGGCACUAAGAAGAUAAUGAUGGUGGAAGGUGAAAGUGCAUCUAAACCAUGGACUCAACAUUAAUCAUGAAGAACUCAUAUACUUGUUGCAAAAGUGUUAGUAGUAAUCGAAACAAAGCAUUCAACGCAUACUCCUAGGGGAAGGGUUGGUAGGUAUAAACCAUCGCGCGAUCCCGACCGCCACACAAAGGAUGACAAUCAAUAGACUAAUCAUGCUCAGACUUCAUCACAUUGCGGUUCACCAUACGUGCAUGCUACGGGAAUCACUAACUUCAACACAAGUAUUUCUAGAUCCACAACACCUUACUAGCAGAACUUCAAUAUUGCCACAACCACAACUCAAAAUUGAUUGAGAUGAAUCAAACUUCUCUAACUAUUCAAUGCACAUGAAGGUGGAAGUUUUCAUAUCCCUUUGGAUAACUAUCCCUUUUGAGACUACUUUCAAAGCAUAGAUCAACUACCAAGCCACGCACCGUCGUGCUCUAAAAGAUAUAAGUGAAGCACAUAGAGAAAAAUCAACUAGCUCAAAAGAUAUAAGUGAAGCACAUGUGAGCUGAUUUGUCUACCAAUGGAUAUAAGUGAAGCUCGACAAAAUCACGGUGAGUGCAUGUCUCUCUCUCUAGGUGUGCAGAAAGGAUGAUUGUGACACAACAAAAAUAAAAGACUCCUACGAUACAAGAUGCUCCAAGAAAAACACAUAACAUGUGGUGAAUAAAAAUAUAGCCCCAAGUAACGUUACCGAUGGAUUGAAGACGAAAGAGGGGAUGCCUUCCCGGGGCAUCCCCAAUCUUAGGCUUUUACGGCAUCCUUGAAUCAUCUUGGGGUGCCUUGGGCAUCCCCAAGCUUGAGCUCUUGCCACUCUUUAUCUUUUUGUCCAUAAGAACUUCACCCAAAACUUGAAAACUUCACAACACGAAACAUAAACAGAAACUCGUGAUAACAUUAGUAUAAGAAAGCAAACCACCACUUCCUUCGGUAAUGUAGCAAACAUAAUUUCUACUUAUGUUGAUGUUGGGUUACUAUAUUUUCAAUCUUCUAAGGCUAAUACCCACCGAUACUAUCCAUAGUUUCAUCAAAAUAAGCAACCAACUCAACAAAAACAGAAUCUGUUAACAGCAAACCAGUCUGUAGCAAUUUGUAUACUCCGUAUACUUCUGGUAAUUCCAAAAUUCUGAAAAAUUACGAAAGUCUGAAGAAUUUGCGUAGAAAUCAGAAGCAAAAAAAAUUAACUCAAAAUAUCUUACAUAAAAAAAUGAAAAUUCUUUUCGUGAGCAGAAAGUUUCUGUCUUUUCUAGCAUGACCAAACGAUCAUCCCCAAGACUGAUCAUAACGGUUUUGCUUGGCACAAACGCAAAAAGAAACACAAAAAACACAAUCAUAACAAAAUUAUGAAAGUGUGGAAAACACAAAACAGAAAGAAAAAGGAUAGAUUCGUUGGGUUGCCUCCCAACAAGCACUAUUGUUUAACGCCCUUAGCUAGUCAAAAGGUGAUGGAAUCACGUAUAGUCAUCUUUGGUGCUCAAACCAUAAGUAGUGUGAUCAUUUAUCAUCUUAAGAUCUUCAUAUUUAUUGGAUGACUCACCACUAGCUUUAGGAACAAAAACAGUCUUGAUGGUCUUUUUGAGAGUGAGAUUUGGAGUAUUUUGCACAGCGGCAAAAGCGGAACCCAAGUUGGUUACGACAUCCUCUAGUUUACCAAUUCUAGAGGAAUCAUUAACUAUGGGUUCCUUCUCCCUUAAAUUUUUCAAGAACAUUCCCACUUUGGAUCCAUACUGAGUAAUUUGAUUGUGGAACUUUCUAUCCAAACUCUCAAUAAGUUCAACUGUAGCAAUUUUUUUAUCAAUAGCGUCAAGCCUUUUCAUCACGUGUUCCAAGGUCAAGGUAGUUUAAUUAAUCAUGAGCGGGGGUGAGCCAACCAAAUUCAUGAUAGCUCCAUAAGAGUCAAAGGUAUGGCUCCCCAAAAAAUUCCCGCCUACGAUGGUAUCAAGUAUAUACCUAUUCCAAGGAGAGAUUCCAACAUAAAAACUGCGAAGAAGAAUGGUAGUGGAUUGCUUACGAGUAGAUCUACUUUGAGCAUUGCAAAUCCGGUACCAAGCGUCCUUUAAAUUUUCUUCCUCAUUUUGCCUGAAAUUGAGAACUUCGUUCUCAGGGGUAUCGUUUGGAGUAGUGGGUCUAGCCAUUGAUGGACUAUCCCACACACAAACGAGCAGAAAGUAAGCGAGUGAAGCGAGCAAAAGAGAACGGCAAAGGAAGACGGCAAAAAGUCAAAAGGAAAUGGCAAAAGGGGAAAGACAAAAGAAAACGGCAAAUGUGAAGUGGGGGAGAGGAAAACGAGAGGCAACUGGCAAAAAAGGUAAAUACAAGAGAUGAUUUUGUGAGACCUACUUGGAUAGACUCUCCUUCCCCGGCAACAGCGCCAGAAAUACUUCUACUACUGCAAAAAAAGACCUUCCAACGGCGCCAGAAACAAGCGUGCUGACAGGAAACUAUUCUUGUCUUGAUACUCCUGAGCAACGGCACCAGGAAUCCUUCUGCUACGGCUACGCCUUUAGGGACUUCCUUGGCAAAUAUGCAAAGGAUUCCCCCGUGGCCUUGGAGCCUUGCGUUGGUGUUCCCUCGAAGCGGAAAGGGUGAUGUAGCAGAGCGGUGGUAAGUAUUUCCCUCAGUUUUGAGAACCAAGGUAUCUAUCCAGUGAAGGAUUGUCACAAGUACCUGCACAAACACAAAGAGCUUGCACCCAACGCUAUGAAGGGGUUGUCAAUCCCUUAUAGAUUGUUUGCCAAGUGAGAACUGAAAGCAAAAAAGAACCAAAGCAAAGUAAAAGCAAAAUUGGAAACGAUAGGUGUGCAUAGACCCGGGGGCCGUAGUGUUUAUGAAAGCAAGUAGACGGUGGAUGAACGAAUUACUGUCGAGCAAUUGAUAGAACCGCGCAAAGUCGUGACGUUAUCUAUGGCAAUGAUUAUAUCUAUAGGCAUCACAUCCAAAACAAGUAGACCGAUACUUUUUGCAUCUACUACUAUUACUCCACACGUCGACCGCUAUCCAGCAUGCAUCUAGUGUAUUAAGUUCAUGAGAAUAGAGUAACCCCUUAAGCGAGAUGACAUGAUGUAGAUGGACAAUCUCAUAUCUACAAUAAAAGCCCAUCUUGUUACCCUUGAUGGCAACAACACGAUGUGUGCCUUGCUGCCCCUUCUGUCACGGGAAAGUUCACCACACGGUAUGAACCCAAAACCAAGCACUUCUCCCAUUGCAAGAAUCAUAGAUCUAGUUGGCCAAACAAAACCCAAGACUUGGAGAGACUUACGAGGAUAUCAAAUCAUGCAUAUAAGAAAACAGUAAAGACUCAAAUAUAUAUCAUAGAUAAUCUGAUCACAAAUCCACAGUUCAUCGGAUCUCGACGAACAUACCGCCAAACAGGAUUACAUCGGACAGAUCUCCAUGAAGAUCAUGGAGAACUUUGUAUUGAAGAUCCAAGAGAGAGAAGAAGCCAUCUAGCUACUAACUACGGACCCGUAGGUCUGAAGUGAACUACUCACGAGUCAUUGAAAGAGCGAUGAUGUUGAUGUAGAGCCCUCCAACUCCAAAGUCCCCUCCGGCAGGGCACCGGGAAGGGUCUNNNNNNNNNNCUCGCGGACACGGAAGCUUGCGGCGGCGGAAAAGUGUGUUCGUGGAUUCUCCUAUUUUUUCUGUAUUUUAGGGAAUAUAUAGGCGAAGGAGCUAGGUCAGGGGGCGCCAGGGAGGCCACAAGCCUGGUAGCCGCCGCCCCCCUGGUGGCGGCUACAGGGCUUGUGGGUCCCCUGUGGCUCUCCUGCCUUGGCCCUCAAGUCCCCUGAUCUUCUUCCGUUCUGGAAAAUUUUAUUUCGGAGAUUUUAUUCCGUUUGGACUCUGUUCCAAAAUCAGAUAUGAAAAGAGUUAAAAAACAGAAAAAACAGGAACUGGCACUUGGCACUGAAUUAAUAAGUUAGUCCCAAAAAAGAUAUAAAAGGUACAUAAAACAUCCAAAGCUGACAAGAUAACAUCAUGAAACCAUCAAAAAUUAUAGAUACAUUUGAGACGUAUCAGUGGCCGCCGCUCCGUGUCGUAGAUCACAAUGGAAACUUCUCUUUGAUUUUUUGCUAAAUAUGCGAAUUUAUAGGACUAGAGAUAGGGUUGGGCGAGCCUCGUGGAGCCCACCACACAACAGGGUGCGACCUAGGGGGCGGCCUCACCAUGUUGCCUCGUGGCCAUGAGGAACACACCCCCCUCUGGCGCGUCUUUGCUUCAUAAUUCAUUAUAAUUGCUAGAAAAAAUUCACAAUGUUUUUUGUCCAAUUCCAAGAACUAUUAUUGAUGCACAAAAAUAACACCAAGGUAGUUCUGCUGAAAACAGCAUCAGUGCGGGUUAGUUUCAUUUAAAUCAUGCAAAUUAGAGUCCAAAACAUGAGCAAAAGUGUUUAUACAAGUAGAUACGUUGGAGAAGUAUCAGCCAUUGACAAGUAGGAACACCCGUGUACUGUCAGAAUGCUUUGAUAAUUGUUACGUGAUGUGGACGGCUAGGCUAAGGCACUACAUAUGUAGGGUGAAGAUGGUUCACAUAUGAAAUCAUGGCCCUCGGGCCCUAGUGGCAAGCAUUAAGCAUGGUAAGGUCAUAGGAACACUAUCACAGAACAUAGUGGAUACUAGGGAUCAAGAAAUAUCAAAAUAACUCGAUAACAUGACAAAUAUCGUCCAAUCCCAUCACCGUCCAGCUAGCAUACAAAGUAAGUACUCACUCCCGGUGGUGAGCAUUACGAUGGUCUUGAUGGAGAAGGAUUGGUGAUGACGACGGCAAUUAAUCUCCCUCUUCAGACCCUAAACGGACUUCAGAUCAUCCCCCUUGAAGAACAAUAGGAGCUGGCAGCGGCUCUGUCUCGUAGAACACAAUGAAAACUUCUCUGCUACUUUUCACCGGAAAUAGGAAUUUAUAGGAUUGGAAUUAGGGUAUAUGGAGCCACGAGGUGGUCACAAGCCAAGAGGGCACGCCUGGGGGGGGGGGGGGGGNNNNNNNNNNNNNNNNNNNNNNNNNNNNNNNNNNNNNNNNNNNNNNNNNNNNNNNNNNNNNNNNNNNNNNNNNNNNNNNNNNNNNNNNNNNNNNNNNNNNCGAAAGCAAAGUGUUUGUUUCUAGAAACGGAUCCUUUCUCGAGGAAAGGUUUCUCUCGAAAGAAUUGAGUGGGAGGGUGGUAGAACUUGAUGAGGUUAUUGAACCAUCACUUCAACCAGUGUGUAGCAGGGCGCAGGAAGUUGUUCCCGUGGCGCCUACACCAAUUGAAGUGAAAGCUAAUGAUGGUGAUCAUCGAGCAUCGGAUCAAGUUACUACAAACCUCUUAGGUUGACAAGGUCGCGUACUACUGCAGAGUGGUACGGUAACCCUGUCUUGGAGGUCAUGUUGUUGAGCAACAGUGAACCUACGAGUUAUGGAGAAAGCAAUGGUGGGCCCCGAUUCUGAAAAAUGGCUGGAAGCCAUGAAAUCCGAGAGAGGAUCCAUGUAUGAAAACAAAGUGUAGACUUUGGAAGAACUACUUGAUGGUCAUAGGACUAGUGAGUAAAGAUGGAUCAUUAAAAGGAAGACAGAUGAUGAUAGUGAUAAGUCACUAUUAAGAAAAGCUCGACUUGUCGCAAAGAUGUUUCUGACAAGAUCAAACAGUUGACUAUGAUGAGACUUUCUCACUCGUAGCGAUGCUGAAAGUCUGUUAGAAUUAUGUUAGUAGUUGCUGCAUUAUUUAUGAAAUAUUGCACAUAGGAUGUCAAAACAUUGUUUCCUCGACGGUUUCCUUGAGCAAACAUUGUAUGUGAUACAACCAGAAGGUUUUGUCGAUCCUAAAGAUACUAGCAAGUAUGCAAGCUCCAGUGAUCCUUCAAUGGACUGGUGCAAGCAUCUCGGAGUUAGAAUAUACACUUUGAUGAGAUGAUCAAAGAUUUUGGGUGUGUACAAGGUUUAUGAGAAACUUGUAUUUCCAAAGAAGUGAGUGGGAGCACUAUAGAAUUUCUGAUAGGAAUAUGUGGUUGACAUAUUGUGGAUCAGAAGUAAUGUAGAAUUUCUGUAAACCAUACAAGGUUGUUUGAAAGAAGUUUUCAAAGGAGUACCUGGAUUACGCUACUUGAACGUUGAGCAUCUAUGGAGAUAGAUCGAAAGCGCUUAAUAGAAGUUUCAACAAGAUGCAUGCCUUGACAAGUUUUUGAAAGAGUUCAAAAUAGAUCAACAAAGAAGGACUUCUUGGUUGCGUUAUGAGGUGUGAAUUUGAGUAAGACUCAAAAGCCGACCCCGGCAGAAUAAAGAGAAUAGACGAAGGUCGUCUUCUAUGCCUUGGCCGUAGAAUCUGAAGUAUGCCAUGCUGGGUACCGUACCUGAUGUGUGCCUUGACUCAAAGUCUGUUGAGAGGUAGAGAGAGUGAUCCAUGAUUGAAUCACUAGCAGCGGUCAAAAUUUAUCCUNNNNNNNNNNAGCCGUAGAAUCUAAAGUAUGCCAUGCUGUGUACCGCACCUGAUGUGUGCCUUGACUCAAAGUAUGUUGAGAGGUACAGAGAGUGAUCCAUGAUUGAAUCACUAGCAGCGGUCAAAAUUUAUCCUUAGUAACUGAUGGACUAAGGAAUUUUUCUCGAUUAUGGAGAGGUUAAAGAGUUCGUCGUAAAGGGUUACGUCGAUGCAAGCUUUGACACUAAUCCGAAUAACUAUGAGUAGUGAAACGGAUUCGUAUAGUAGAGUAGAUAUUUGGAGUAUUUCCAAAUAGCACAUAGUAGCAGCAUCUAUAAGAUGACAUAAAGAUUUGUAAAGAACACACGGAUCUGAAAGUUUCAGAACCGUUGACUAAAACCUCUCUCACGAGCAAGACGUGAUCAGACCCCAUAACUAUAUGGGUGUUGGAUUCGUUGGAAUCACAUGGUGAUGUGAACUACAUUAUUGACUCUAGUGCAAGUGGGAGACUGUUGGAAAUAUGCCCUAGAGGCAAUAAGAAAUUAGUUAUUAUUAUAUUUCUUUGUUCAUGAUAAUCGUUUAUUAUCCAUGCUAUAAUUGUAUUGAUUGGAANNNNNNNNNNNNNNNNNNNNNNNNNNNNNNNNNNNNNNNNNNNNNNNNNNNNNNNNNNNNNNNNNNNNNNNNNNNNNNNNNNNNNNNNNNNNNNNNNNNNAAAUGGUUGUUGUGGUUGUUGGGGGAAUGGUUGUGGUUGUAGAGGGAAUGAUUGUUGGGGAAUUAUUUGUUCUGAUUCCUGGGGAAAUGGUUGUUGCGGUUGUAGGGGGGAUGCUUGUUGGGGUCACUGCUGGGGGACUAGUUGGGGUUGGGGAAAUGGCUGUUGAGGUUGCAGAGGCUAUGAUUGUUGGGGUUGCUCGAAAAUUAUUUGUUGUGGUUGUUGGGGAAAUGGUUGUUGUGGUUGUUUGGGGAAUGGUUGUUGUGGUUGCAGAGGGAAUGGUUGUUGUGGUUGCUGGGGAAUUAUUUGUUGCGGUUGCCGCGAGACUGGUUGUUGUGGUUGCUGCACAAUUGGUUGUUGGGGCUGCGGAAAUGGUUGUUGUGGUUGCCAGGGGAAUGGUUGUUGUGGUUGCUGGGGAAAUGGUUGUUCAGGUUGGGGAAAUGGUUGUUGUGGUUGCUGGGGAAAUGGUUGUUGGGGCUGAGGAAAAGGUUCUUGCGGUUGCUGGGGAAAUGGUUGUUGUGGUUGCUGGGGUAUUAUUUGUUGUGGUUGCUGGGUGAAUGGUUCUUGUGGUUGGUAGGGAAUUGGUUGUUGGGGUUGGGGCAAUGGUUGUUGUGGUUGCGAGGGGAAUGGUUGUUGGGUCUGAGGAAAAGGUUGUUGUGGUUGCUGGGGGAAUGGUUGUUGUGGUUGCUCGGGAAUUAUUUGUUGUGGUUGCUGGGGGAAUGGUUGUUGUGGUUGCUGGGGAAUUGGUUCUUGGGGCUGGGGAAAUGGUUGUUGUGGUUGCCACGGGAAUGGUUGUUGGGGCCGAGGAAGAGGUUGUUGUGGUUGUUGGGGGAAUGGUUGUUGUGGUUGUAGGGGGGUUGGUAUUUGAUAUUGGGGAAACAAUUCCUCUGGUAGAUAGGGGAAAUAUUGUUGGGGUGUGGGAAAUGGUUGCUGCACUGGAAAUGGUUGUUGCNN
rnacentral:lncRNA from 1 species